AUGUCAUUAAUUGGUAAUUUUAUGUGGUGAUAUAUCCUAUCAGAACUAAAAUGAAAAUUUGGAACAACUAUUUAACAUAAAUGUUUUGGAAUAUAACGAAAAUAAAAAUAAUAAAAAAUUAUAAUUUCUAGUUUUUCGGAUCAUCUUAGUAAAACGUUUUUUGUGGCAUAUAUACCUGUCCAUAUUUAAGGUUAUUGAAGAUAAAUUAGUAAAUGCUAAUUUGGUAGCUAAUCUAUUGCUAGUUGAUUUUAUCCACAUAUUUAAUCAUUCAACGUUGCGUAUAUAUGGUUGUUGCUAUAUGGUAUUUUAAGGUGAUGACAUAUCGUAACAAAAAUUAAGAUAAAUGUUUGGAAUAAAAUUUUAAAAAAAAACUAACCAAUCAUUUUAAAACUGUUUUUCCGGAUAAUCCUAAAAAUAGUUUUCAGAGACUUAUAUAUAUGUAUAUGUUCACAUUUAAGGUUUUCUACAAUAAACACAUAAAAUAUUUAUUUACAGUGAAGAGUUAUAAUGUCAGCAUCUAAAUUUGCUAUAUUUUGUAUUGUUCUGGUGUUUCUUGCUAGUUGUCAUGAAUGUGCCGACCUCAACAGAGGGCCCAAACCAACAUGCUCUAAAACACCAAAGAAUGUUUGGUGUUGCAGCAACAAUUCACACUGUCGGGAAACCAAAGCGCUAUGUGAGAAGAUUUGUUGGGUCCGCGGUUGAAUUUUUCUGAAGAGAACUUCUAUAAUUAUUUAUUCCAAAUAUUUUUGUACUUCCAUUAGUCUAAAUUCGAAUAAUAAAUAGUAAUUCUUAUUCCAAAUAAGAAUCUAGUAUUAUGAACUAAAUAAUUUGAUAUACCUUCGAAAGAGAUCGAAAUAUAUAUUUUUGUUUAUGGCUUUCUUCAAUUAUAUUUUAGAAGUUUAUAAAUGUUAUGUAAAAUUGAGAAUAAAACUAUUUUAGACUGUUUAACUGAA